GUGAGGAAUAUUGGACAAUGGGCGCAAGCCUGAUCCAGCCAUGCCGCGUGCAGGAUGAAGCAUCUAUGGUGUGUAAACUGCUUUUGUACGAGAAGAAACAUCCCGACGUGUCGGGACUUGACGGUAUCGUAAGAAUAAGGACCGGCUAACUCCGUGCCAGCAGCCGCGGUAAUACGGAGGGUCCAAGCGUUAUCCGGAAUCAUUGGGUUUAAAGGGUCCGUAGGCGGUCUUAUAAGUCAGUGGUGAAAUCUCCCCGCUCAACGGGGAAACGGCCAUUGAUACUGUAGGACUUGAAUUAUUAGGAAGUAACUAGAAUAUGUAGUGUAGCGGUGAAAUGCUUAGAGAUUACAUGGAAUACCAAUUGCGAAGGCAGGUUACUACUAAUUGAUUGACGCUGAUGGACGAAAGCGUGGGUAGCGAACAGGAUUAGAUACCCUAGUAGUCC
rnacentral:rRNA from 1 species